AUAAAUGUUUUGAUAGGGAAGAGUAAAUUUUGCUAAUUGUUAAAAGAGAAUUGUGUCAUUGGCUGAAAGCACAUAACUAAUUACUAAUUGAAAACCACCCUGGAGCAGAUAGAAAGAAUUAAGUAUUUCUAUUCGGUUAAACCGUUAUCUUAUUAAGUGAAUAUUGAUUUUAGUAUAUUUAUUUUUAUAGAAUAUUAAAAUUAGUAUUAACUAGAGUGGAACCGCGCAAUCCGUCGUCUCUAUA
rnacentral:ncRNA from 1 species